rnacentral:snRNA from 1 species
AUAUUUACCUGACAAGGAAAACACAAUGAUCAAGAAGGUAGUCUUCCCAGGGCUAGACUCAUCCAUUGCACUCCAGAUGUGCUGACCUCUGUGAUUUCCCCGAUGUGGGAAACUCAACUGCAUCAUUUGUGGUAGUAGGAGACUGUGUUGGCACUCUUCCAGC